AUACUUACCUGACGCGAGAGGCACCUUGAUCAACUAGGAGGUCCUCUCAGGAUGAGGCCCUUUCAUUGCACUUCGACUGGGUUGACACUCCUGCGAUUACCCCUAAUGUGGGUAACUCAAGCCUAUAAUUUUUGGUAGUGGCGACCUGCGUUCGCGCUUGUCUCAU